CCGGGUUAGUGUCCAGUAGACCCGUCCCCACCGUGGCGUGCGUUGUUGGUAACGACGAGGUGCGAAGCCUGCGGGAAAGCCGAAGUCGUGGCAUCAACUUGCCGAUGUACGACGGGCGAGGGGAAAGUCCGGAUGGGUGA
rfam:Enteractinococcus sp. TASWS1574 109, whole genome shotgun sequence.